AAUUUGUUUAAAAAAGUGAGAUUGGCUUCCCCCAAGUGUCUGAAAAACUCUUUUGGUUUUACUUUAUAAAUUGAGAACUGAAGUGCUUGUCAAGGUGUUGGCAUUUGCUUUAAUGUAUUUUUGGUGAGGUUUUGGUUCAGUGCUGUUAUUGGAGCUGCUGUUGGCUGAACAGGAGCUCCUGAUUCCCCUGUAAGGACAUGGCUUGGUUCACUGCUUCUCACAGCUUGUAGAGUAGAUGGAAUUCCAGUGGGACCUCCUAGAUGGCUUGUGGUGCUCCCUAAAGGAGCAUUUCUGUCUGCUGUGAUGGUUCUGGUCCCCUAUGGGCUGGUGUGAGAAGCUGAGGGUUUGCAGCAGCAGGUUUGGAAUGAUGUUCCUGCGGCACAGACAUCUCUCCCUGGCAGGUUGUGGGGUUUGAGGCUUCGGAUAACAGUAACAAAGCACUGACAGGGUCUUCUUAGUUGUGCAGGGAGCAAAAUCCUUCACUGGAAAUCCAAUCCGGGGAUGAUGUGGCUUCAGAAAGAGCUCUGUGACCUUUUCCAUGCCCUGUGCUGCACAAGAGGCCCUGGGACUCAAGAAGAUCCAUUGCUUGUUCUGAGGGGACAGUGAACUGCUACAACGUGCAACGAACAGAGGAAGUUGGAUGUGAAGAUUUGGGUCAAUCUGGAAAGUUCCUUGUGCCUUAAGAAUCAUGGCAAGUGUAGCACUAAAAACUCCAAAUUAGGAAUAAUCCAAAGAUGAACCAGUUCUCAACAAACUCAGCUUUCAAAAUUAUUUUUCAAGAUAAAACAAGAUUGAAAUGAGCUUGGUGGGAAAGCCCCUGUGAGGCAAAUCACCAUGAAAAUACCUGUGAGCAGAAACAUGAGGGAAUUCCUGCUGCUCCUGAUGUCCUGCUCUUUUCAGGACAGGACAAAUCAUUUCAUUCGACCCAGCCACGCCUAAACCUGUGGUUUUGUCUGGGUUUGAGCAGCCAAACCCAAAAGCCUCAUGCCCUGGAAGCACACCUGGUCCUGCACAUGCUGUGGGGUCAGAUUUCCCUCAGCUCUGGGCAGGGACCAUGCCAAAGAUCAGAGUCAGGGCCAAAUUUAAGACUGAUCCAGGUAAGGUCAGCGUUUACCUGUAGGUGUGAAAGUUUUGGGGGUAAAAUCUGGGAUAAUUGGUAGCAGAGCAAAUGUACAUUUAUAGGUAAAUUGAGGAAGUCAGUAAAAGGUGAGGAAUGUUUGUGGUGGGAAGCUGGAGGAGAUCUCAGGUAGAGAAGAGCCAGAUGGCCUUUUUGAGGAAAAUGAUUGUCAGUAAAAUCUGAGGUAACACUUAAGGGAAGGCAUGAACAUUUUGAGGUCAGUCCAGGUAAUCAGCAGUGUCCAGGUAGGGGAGUUUGUGGGUUUGCUCUCAAGUAAGGUACAGUGAAUACUUGGGAGGUUAAAGCCUAGGUACAAUCUCUGAUUACAGCUAUUCCCUGAUGUCAUUUCACCUGCCUGAAUUCUUUGCAGCUCCCAGCUGGGAAAACCUGGCAUAACUUAGAGGGGACAGAGGUGACAUUCUUUUGGCUGAGAACCUGCUAUAAUUUAGAGGGGACCCAACAUGUGUUUGUGUAGGAAAAUGUGAGGGGAUGUGGAGGGGAGCGAGUGGCAUUUUGAGGGAAUAGCUGUGGGGAGAGAACACUCAUUUUGGGGUGAAAUGAGGAAAUCAGUAGUGUACAGGAAAGAAAAUCUGGGAGGUAAAACAUGGGAUAACCUUGAGGGUAGAGAGUGAUUGAUUUAUUGUAAAAAUUGAGGCAAUGAGUAAGGAAGGGAAAUUUAUGUGGGAUAAGCUUGAGGUGCUUUCUGGGGGAGAGAAUGAGUAUUUAGAGGGAAAGACAAUGUAAUCAUCAGUGUCACAGAGGGAAUCAUUUGUGAGUGAACUUGAGGUGCUCUAUAUUGACAGAGAGUGGAGAUUUUGAGGGGAAAAUGAGCUCAUCAGAAGUGGACAGAGGGAAUAUUUUGGGGGUAAAAUCUGGGGCAAUCCCUAGGGGAGAGAAUGAGCAUCUCAAGGUAAAUGGAGGUAAUAAGUAGCACAAAGGUAGUGAUAUGCUGGAGGGUCAAACUUGAAAUCAUUUCUAGGGUAGAGAAUAAAUAUUUUGAGGUAAAACUGAGGUAAAUCAAAAGUGGAGGCAGGUAGGGAAAACCUUGGUGAGAUUUGUGAUAACCUCUAGCAGAGUAAAUGAAAAUUUGGAGUUAAAAGUUAGGUAAUCAGUAGCACACAUGAGGGAAAUACUUGUGGCUAAAAACUGAGAUAAGCUCCAGGGUAGAGAAUGAACAUUUUGAGGUAAACAGAUGGAAUAAGUAGUGGACAGGCACAGAAAAUUUUAGGGGUCAAAUUGAGGUAAUGUGUAGAGGAGAAAAAACAACAUUUUGAGGUAAAUAUGGAGUAAAAAAUACUGGACAGGUAGGGAAAAUUUGAGGGGAAAACACUGAGGUAAUCUGGAGUGGUACACAGGUAGAGGGAAUCGGUGGGGGGAAAGUAGAAGUAAUCUAUAGGGAAAAAAAAUGAAUGUUUAGGAGUUCAAAUGUGAGUUAACUCAUAGAGGAGAGACUGAAAAUCCCGAGGUAAAAAUGAGGUGGUCAUUAGCAGAUGGGCAUGGAAAAAUUUGGGAUUAAAACUUGAGGUUGUGUGGGGAGAGAAGGAGCAUUGUGAGGUAAAAUGAGGUAGUGAAUAGUAACAGGUAGGAAAAAUUUUGGGUGCUGAAUCUGUAAAGAAAGAAAAGGUUGAGGCAAACUGAGGUAAUCAGUAGUGUGCUGGUAAGGUGAAGUUUUAGCUUUAAAAUUUGACAUCAUCUGUAAGGAACAAAGAACAUUUGGGGGAAUUACCUGAAGUAAUCUGUAAGGGACAGAAGGAAUAUUUUAGGGAUUAGAUAAGUAGUGGGGGGGGU